rnacentral:rRNA from 1 species
GACGAACGCUGGCGGCGUGCUUAACACAUGCAAGUCGAACGGUAAGGCCCUUUCGGGGGUACACGAGUGGCGAACGGGUGAGUAACACGUGGGUGAUCUGCCCUGCACUUUGGGAUAAGCCUGGGAAACUGGGUCUAAUACCGGAUAGGACUACGCGAUGCAUGUCGUGUGGUGGAAAGCUUUUGCGGUGUGGGAUGGGCCCGCGGCCUAUCAGCUUGUUGGUGGGGUGAUGGCCUACCAAGGCGACGACGGGUAGCCGGCCUGAGAGGGUGUCCGGCCACACUGGGACUGAGAUACGGCCCAGACUCCUACGGGAGGCAGCAGUGGGGAAUAUUGCACAAUGGGCGCAAGCCUGAUGCAGCGACGCCGCGUGGGGGAUGACGGCCUUCGGGUUGUAAACCCCUUUCAGCACAGACGAAGCGUAAGUGACGGCAUGUGCAGAAGAAGCACCGGCCAACUACGUG